GUAGGCUAAAGGCAGAAUUGAAUAUCAUGUGGAACAGCUCCACCUAGAGAGCAUGAUGGCGUGGCUGUUACCACCACUGCCUCACAUCUCUGGGCUCCUGGGCUCAGUUCUGAGCUAAGCGGUCUUUCUGUGUGACGUUUACUUAGAUCUUCUCCAAGUAUUCUUCAGGAGACUUUCAAAAGACACGUUUGUUGAUUGGGAUUCCAGUGACACACCAGGCUGUCAUUCUGAACGCUGUAAUUCUUGUGGCCUACCAGCCAGUAUGUGUUCAUUUUACCUUUCCCCUGAGAACAAAGAGAAACCUAAAAUCUGAAGCUCAUAGGCAUCAUCCUUUUUCAGAGCGAGGUAGGUGGCAGAGCUGACAUGAACCUUUUGAGCUGCCAUAGAAG